AAGUCGUAACAAGGUCUCCGUUGGUGAACCAGCGGAGGGAUCAUUACCGAGUUUACAACUCCCAAACCCAUGUGAACAUACCUACUGUUGCUUCGGCGGGAUUGCCCCGGGCGCCUCGUGUGCCCCGGAUCAGGCGCCCGCCUAGGAAACUUAAUUCUUGUUUUAUUUUGGAAUCUUCUGAGUAGUUUUUACAAAUAAAUAAAAACUUUCAACAACGGAUCUCUUGGUUCUGGCAUCGAUGAAGAACGCAGCGAAAUGCGAUAAGUAAUGUGAAUUGCAGAAUUCAGUGAAUCAUCGAAUCUUUGAACGCACAUUGCGCCCGCCAGUAUUCUGGCGGGCAUGCCUGUCUGAGCGUCAUUUCAACCCUCAUGCCCCUAGGGCGUGGUGUUGGGGAUCGGCCAAAGCCCGCGAGGGACGGCCGGCCCCUAAAUCUAGUGGCGGACCCGUCGUGGCCUCCUCUGCGAAGUAGUGAUAUUCCGCAUCGGAGAGCGACGAGCCCCUGCCGUUAAACCCCCAACUUUCCAAGGUUGACCUCAGAUCAGGUAGGAAUACCCGCUGAACUUAA
rnacentral:misc_RNA from 1 species